CCCGUUUUUGCUAGAGACCAAGGACCCGGAAUAAGCACUGAGCCUGCGGUACCGGGCCUCCCCGACUCCUCAUUCCUGGGGUUAAAAAAAAAAAAAUAAGACGCAGGCUGGGCGCGGUGGCUCAGGCCUGUAAUCCCAGCACUUUGGGAGGCCGAGGCUGGUGGAUCACCUGAGGUCAGGAGUUCGAGACCAGCAUGGCCAACAUGGUGAAACCCCGUCUCUACUAAAACUACAAAAAUUAGCCUAGCGUGGUGGCAGGCGCCUGUAAUCCCAGCUACUCGGGAGGCUGAGGCAAGAGAAUCGCUUGCGCCCAGGAGGCAGAGGUUGCGGUGAGCCGAGAUCGCACCACUGCACUCCAGUCUGGGUGACAUAGAUCCUGUCUCAAAAAAAUAAAUAAAUAAAUAAAAUAAAAAUCAGACUCACACUUUUUGUCUGAGAACUAAAAGCAGCCUCUCUGGUGGAUUGGGUUUGGCUGAGCCCCUAAUGAUGCUCCCCAGAGUAGGCGCUGCCAACGUGUAGCUUCACCUUUCUACUCCAGACAGGCCCCUUUGACCUCCGUGAGGUUGGCUAAUAUAGAGACCCCAGCAUGGACUUGCAGGGGCGCCUGGUGGGAGAGGGGUGUGGAGCAGAGCCUGCUGGGCCUGCUCGGAGACUUGCCUUGCAGGAGGGUCUUCCAGGGACGCUUAGCAGGAAGUGGAAAGGCCAGGUCAUCUGCCGGGCCCAGCCUGGCUAAGCAGUGAGUGACAGGUAGGAUAGGCCAGUGUGAGGACAUAAAGUUCAGGCUCCAGGCCCACCUCUACAACUGAGGUCCCCAGAUGACUCUACGUUACCCCUCAGAGGGGCUACUUGGGACUCCAAGCAGGAAGGUUUACGAACGUUAUUUGCGGGCCCGCCCUUCACCCCUGCUGCACAGCUUCCCCUAGUGGAUUUGGCCGUAAAUGAGCAGACUGGUGCCUCCAGAGCAGCCCUCACCUUGGUGCCCCUGUGUUUGUCUUCACCCGGCUGGGGUCCAGGGAGAUGCAAAGAAUCCAUCAGAGAACAGGUGAGCAUGUUGAGAAGAACCAGAGAACCAGAAAUAACCUGGGCUGGCAACCUUGGCCUUCAGGCUUCUGAGGCAUUGACGUGCAGAUAUAAGUACCUCCCCUGAGUUAGGGACUGGUAGAAGAAACGGGAUGUGGACAUUUCAGUCUGAGAAAGUCUUGAGGAGCAGGAUGAACCAGGGUGUCCUUCCCCCUCUCAGGAAGUAAUUUCAGGGAGGUGAAGUGA
rnacentral:lncRNA from 1 species